AGUUGAGGUACUUGCUACAACAAGACAGAUAUGUCAUUUAUUGCUGCAAGAGCUAACUAAUGCCAUUACACUAUCUGUAGAACAUCAAACAGAAGACUACUCUAGCCUUUUGACAAAAGGUAAAAACUGUGAAAAUUAGCAACAUAUCCUUGUCUGCAUCUCAAAGGGAUAUUCAAGAAUUUUUUUGCUUCUCUGGAGACAUUGAUUAUGUUGAAAUGCAAAGGCCAUUCUUUUAUCCUCUAUUUGUACCUCACGCAUAUGUAUAUUUAGGAAUAAGGAAGUGAUUACGGCAGUGACUCAGAAAAUUCUCAACUUGCUUAUGUCACUUUCAGAGACUCACAGGGAGUUGAAACUGCAAUGCCUCUCACGGGUGCAACUAUUGUUGAUCUUUCUGUUAAUGUAACACCAGUCGAGAAGUACAAGUUGCCUCCUGAAGCUUACCGACACAAGCUGGAUCGGAUCCGUCACCUACCAAUGCAGCAGUGAAGAAGGCAAAGGAUGUGGUCCGUAGCAUGCUGGCCAAGGGCUUUGCUCUCGGUAAGGACGCACUACAGCGAGCCAAAGCCUUCGACGAGCAGCACCAACUCCUAUCCACUGCCUCAGCAACUGUAGCUUCUCUGGAUAAGAGGGUCGGGCUGAGUGAGAAGCUACCAAUACUGGCUCGGUCAUUAUGAGUAACCGCUGUGUCAACAGGAGGAUCGUGGAUCUCCAGUGCACUUGGGAAGGUAGUGAAGGCAGCUGAAGAUGUUGGCAUGAAGACUAGGGAGAAGGUGGACAAGGCCGAAGAGGAGAGGAAGGAAAUAUUCUGGACCGAGAGACGAGGGAUGGUGAGUGAGUAUGCACAGGUUCACUUCGACGAGCCCGCACUUAGUGAACCUCCAACUAUUCCUAUGUAUACUAUGGACGAACUUAAGUUGAAGCACUAGAAAAUUUCUGUACAUAAUAGAAGUUUCAGUCCUUUUUCGUUCCAUUCUUAGUUUCCUUGAUCAUAUAAUUUAUCUUUUAUGUUUGUAUCAUCUAUAAAACAUCAUCUUGUAUGUUCUCAUUGAUAAUAAUGU